rnacentral:rRNA from 1 species
CAGGCCUAACACAUGCAAGUCGAGCGGGGAAGGGUAGCUUGCUACCUGACCUAGCGGCGGACGGGUGAGUAAUGCUUAGGAAUCUGCCUAUUAGUGGGGGACAACAUUCCGAAAGGAAUGCUAAUACCGCAUACGCCCUACGGGGGAAAGCAGGGGAUCUUCGGACCUUGCGCUAAUAGAUGAGCCUAAGUCAGAUUAGCUAGUUGGUGGGGUAAAGGCCUACCAAGGCGACGAUCUGUAGCGGGUCUGAGAGGAUGAUCCGCCACACUGGGACUGAGACACGGCCCAGACUCCUACGGGAGGCAGCAGUGGGGAAUAUUGGACAAUGGGCGCAAGCCUGAUCCAGCCAUGCCGCGUGUGUGAAGAAGGCCUUUUGGUUGUAAAGCACUUUAAGCGAGGAGGAGGCUACUUGGAUUAAUACUCUAGGAUAGUGGACGUUACUCGCAGAAUAAGCACCGGCUAACUCUGUGCCAGCAGCCGCGGUAAU